UAUGUGAUCGUCUCUCGCAUAUCAAUAAGCGGAGGAAAAGAAACUAACAAGGAUUCCCCUAGUAACGGCGAGUGAAGCGGGAAGAGCUCAAAUUUGAAAUCUUAAAGGGUUUCCCUUUACGAAUUGUAGUUUAAAGAAGUGUUUUCUGUUGAGGUUUUGGUAAAAGUUCUUUGGAAUAGGACAUCAUAGAGGGUGAGAAUCCCGUAUUUGACCUUUACUUUCAACUUUGUGAUACACUUUCAAAGAGUCGGAUUGUUUGGGAAUGCAGUCCAAAAUGGGUGGUAAAUUUCAUCUAAAGCUAAAUAUUGGCGAGAGACCGAUAGCGAACAAGUACCGUGAGGGAAGAUGAAAAGAACUUUGAAAAGAGAGUUAAACAGUACGUGAAAUUGUCAAAAGGGAAGCGUUUGACACCAGUGUUGUUUUUCUGAAAAUCAAUUAAAGAACUGUUUAUGCUAAGUUGUUUAGACUUUAUCAGCUAACUGUUUAGUUUUGAGCUUUUCUUUAAUGCACUUUUCAGUUAACAAGUCAACAUCAAUUUCUUUUGCUGUAAAAAAGCUUGAGGAAGGUGGCUUGAGAUUCGUCUUAAGUGUUUAUAGCCUCUUGCCUAUGCAGUCGGAGAGAUUGAGGUCUGCAGCGUAGAUCCUUCGGGGCUAAAUGCAUUUGUGCUAAGUUAUAGCAUUUUAUAGACAACUUGUUGACUAUGAUUUGUCUUGUAGCUUACUCGCUUAUGUUAUUUUACCUACGCUUAGGAUGUUGAUCUACAGAGCGAGAGU
rnacentral:rRNA from 1 species